CUCCCGGGGAGGGGUCGCGGCUCCUUUGCCGUCCGGGCCCCUCGGAGCUGCGAGCACGCAGAGCAGGAGGGGGCCGAGACCCCCACCGUGCCCGCCUUCCGCCCUCGGCUAUCCAGGGUCGAGUGGCGCUGCCUCUAUCCCGGCCUGUGGGGCUGGGGCGCGCACGGCUCGGCUGCUGCUGCGGCACUGCCCCUGCCAAGCCGCUCCUGCGAGCGGCUGCUCUGGAUUUUGACAGCAAAAUUCCUCCGGGUGUUGCCAAGCCCCGUGUCAAUGCAGUGGCUGAACAACUGCAAAACUGCCGUUUAAGUCAGCCAUAGGCAAGUGGCUUAGAGUCUGCUGAAAGCUGAAUUAGGGAACUUAGAGGGUUCGUCCCUCCUCAAGAGCCUCACUAGCACCAUGUCUCUAAAAGUAGAGAAGCUUCUCCAGAACCCUCAAUAACUGGGAGAAAUUAACCUUAAGGAAUGUCUUAAGUCACAGCACUUCUUGUAGAAACGACGGGAGGAGGCUGGCAGAGAGCUUAGGAGGGAUUGUAUGUUACCACAGUGUGUCAGAACACCACUAAAUAAAGGGCAGCGAACAAAAGUUUUGCCCCAAAAAUCCUACAAUUAAAGAACCAAGCAAAUAUAAUGCAGCCAAGUCCUAAAGCAACUUACAGGCUCUGUGCCAACACCAACUUGGUCUCCUUUUGCCUGUGCAUUAUGUACUAGAGGUACUCAGGAACUCCAUUCCGAAGCCAAUGGCAAGAGCCCAAGCAAGCCUGCAAGUACAGCCAGUGACAAGUGUUUGCAUAUUUCUGCUGUGCCAUGAGAAUCCUUCACUAGAUUGCUACAUCUCCAAAAGAACUCACUCCAGUGUUGCACGUGCUAAGGUGAUUAGCCAAUAAAAUGAAAAGUAAGGAAGUCCUUUCUGAAAAGGAAAACAUUAUUAUAAUGGCUCUAAAGAAAACCUAAGAUGAAUUUUUGAUGGCGAUCCAGUGCAGAAAAUCUCACAGACUGUCAAGCUGAGGCUGAUGUUGAUGGAUCAGGUGGAAAAGAAUUCACUGCACCGACUGCAAAAACUCCGACGUGAAUACAGCUUCUGCAUAGUCCUCACAAACAUCCUGCAGCUCUGCUGCCACGUCACACAGGGCUUCUUCUGUCAGUUGCUCUGCAAGACUAAGGGAGAGGGCAAAAAAAAGGAGAAGGAGAAGAUUCAGAAAGUCAGCUUUCAAAUUCCAGUCUUCCAAACCACAAAGAUCGUUCACAUACCUCUCAGCAAUCUGCCAUGGAUCGAAACUGCCCACCACCUCAUGGGAAAUAAGCUUUAAAUGAUGCUUGUAUCUGCUGUUAUAAUCCAAGAUGCUCUGGAGCACAUUGCUUGGCACAGAGAGAGACACAGAAUAUGCUUUCUGUAGAGAAUUCAGAGGUGAGGGCUGCAGAAUGUCAUUUCCAGUCUGCAAUUUCUCCUCUGCUUCUUUAUUUUCAUCAAUAUCACUGGAAAUAUAAAAUAAUCAUCAAGACAGAACUAAAUUUUUAAGUCUCUUUUUGAAGAGUCAGUGUAAUUAAAACACUAUAAUUAAGUCACAUAGAUCUUAUGCACCACAGUUUAGUGUAGGGCCAAGUAUUCCACUUACGUGCUGUCAAAGGGUUUCUCAAAUAAAAUGUCUGUUUCCAGC